rnacentral:rRNA from 1 species
AUUGAACGCUGGCGGCAUGCUUUACACAUGCAAGUCGAACGGUAACAGGCCGCAAGGUGCUGACGAGUGGCGAACGGGUGAGUAAUGCAUCGGAACGUGCCCAGUCGUGGGGGAUAACUACUCGAAAGAGUAGCUAAUACCGCAUACGAUCUAUGGAUGAAAGCGGGGGACCGUAAGGCCUCGCGCGAUUGGAGCGGCCGAUGUCCGAUUAGGUAGUUGGUGGGGUAAAGGCUCACCAAGCCAACGAUCUGUAGCUGUUCUGAGAGGACGACCAGCCACACUGGGACUGAGACACGGCCCAGACUCCUACGGGAGGCAGCAGUGGGGAAUUUUGGACAAUGGGCGCAAGCCUGAUCCAGCAAUGCCGCGUGCAGGAAGAAGGCCUUCGGGUUGUAAACUGCUUUUGUACGGAACGAAACGGCUCUGGUUAAUACCCGGGGCUAAUGACGGUACCGUAAGAAUAAGCACCGGCUAACUACGUG